AGGACGAACGCUGGCGGCGCGCUUAACACAUGCAAGUCGAGCGGAAAGGCCCUUCGGGGUACUCGAGCGGCGAACGGGUGAGUAACACGUGAGCAACCUGCCCUUAGCUCCGGGAUAGCUCCGGGAAACCGGAAUUAAUACCGGAUACGACCACAGCCGACAUCUGCUGUGGUGGAAAGGAUUCCGGCUAAGGAUGGGCUCGCGGCCUAUCAGCUAGUUGGUGGAGUAACGGCCCACCAAGGCGACGACGGGUA
rnacentral:rRNA from 1 species